rnacentral:rRNA from 1 species
CAGUAGCCGCGGGAAAACGAAGGGUGCAAGCGUUACUCGGAAUUACUGGGCGUAAAGCGUGCGUAGGUGGUUGUUUAAGUCUGCUGUGAAAGCCCUGGGCUCAACCUGGGAAUUGCAGUGGAUACUGGGCGACUAGAGUAAGGUAGAGGAUAGUGGAAUUUCCGGUGUAGCAGUGAAAUGCGUAGAGAUCGGAAGGAACAUCUGUGGCGAAGGCGACUAUCUGGGCCAUUACUGACACUGAGGCACGAAAGCGUGGGGAGCAAACAGGAUUAGAUACCCGCGUAGUCCCUGUCUCUUAUAC